GACGAACGCUGGCGGCGUGCUUAACACAUGCAAGUCGAACGGGAUUUAGUAAACAGAAACCUAGGUGGAAGAUUACUAAUGAGAGUGGCGAACGGGUGAGUAACGCGUGAGCAACCUGCCUAUGACAGUGGGAUAGCCUCGGGAAACCGGGAUUAAUACCGCAUAAAAUCGUAGAAACACAUGUUUUAACGGUCAAAGAUUUAUCGGUCAUAGAUGGGCUCGCGUCUGAUUAGCUAGUUGGUGAGAUAACAGCCCACCAAGGCGACGAUCAGUAGCCGGUCUGAGAGGAUGAACGGCCACAUUGGAACUGAGACACGGUCCAAACUCCUACGGGAGGCAGCAGUGGGGAAUAUUGCACAAUGGGGGAAACCCUGAUGCAGCGACGCCGCGUGAACGAAGAAGGUAUUCGUAUCGUAAAGUUCUGUCCUAUGGGAAGAUAAUGACAGUACCAUAGAAGAAAGCUCCGGCUAAAUACGUG
rnacentral:rRNA from 1 species